UACGUAGGGGGCAAGCGUUGUCCGGAUUUAUUGGGCGUAAAGAGCGUGUAGGCGGCCUUACAGGUCAGCUGUGAAAACUCGAGGCUCAACCUCGAGACGUCGGUUGAAACCGUAAGGCUAGAGUCCGGAAGAGGAGAGUGGAAUUCCCGGUGUAGCGGUGAAAUGCGUAGAGAUCCGGAGGAACACCGACGGCGUAGGCAGCGCCCUAGACGAGACCUGACGCUCAGGCACGAAAGCGCGGGGAGCGAACAGG
rnacentral:rRNA from 1 species